GACCUUGAAAUACCACCCUUUAAUGUUUGAUGUUCUAACGUGGACCCGUUACCCGGGUUGCGGACAGUGUCUGGUGGGUAGUUUGACUGGGGCGGUCUCCUCCUAAAGAGUAACGGAGGAGCACGAAGGUUGGCUAAUCCUGGUCGGACAUCAGGAGGUUAGUGCAAUGGCAUAAGCCAGCUUGACUGCGAGCGUGACGGCGCGAGCAGGUGCGAAAGCAGGUCAUAGUGAUCCGGUGGUUCUGAAUGGAAGGGCCAUCGCUCAACGGAUAAAAGGUACUCCGGGGAUAACAGGCUGAUACCGCCCAAGAGUUCAUAUCGACGGCGGUGUUUGGCACCUCGAUGUCGGCUCAUCACAUCCUGGGGCUGAAGUAGGUCCCAAGGGUAUGGCUGUUCGCCAUUUAAAGUGGUACGCGAGCUGGGUUUAGAACGUCGUGAGACAGUUCGGUCCCUAUCUGCCGUGGGCGCUGGAGAACUGAGGGGGGCUGCUCCUAGUACGAGAGGACCGGAGUGGACGCAUCACUGGUGUUCGGGUUGUCAUGCCAAUGGCACUGCCCGGUAGCUAAAUGCGGAAGAGAUAAGUGCUGAAAGCAUCUAAGCACGAAACUUGCCCCGAGAUGAGUUCUCCCUGAGACUUAGAGUCUCCUGAAGGAACGUUGAAGACGACGACGUUGAUAGGCCGGGUGUGUAAGCGCAGCGAUGCGUUGAGCUAACCGGUACUAAUGAACCGUGAGGCUUAACCUUACAACGCCGAAGCUGUU
rnacentral:rRNA from 1 species